rnacentral:rRNA from 1 species
UACGUAGGGUGCAAGCGUUGUCCGGAAUUAUUGGGCGUAAAGAGCUCGUAGACGGUUUGUCGCGUCUGCUGUGAAAACUCGGGGCUUAACCCCGGGCCUGCAGUGGGUACGGGCAGACUAGAGUGCGGUAGGGGAGACUGGAAUUCCUGGUGUAGCGGUGAAAUGCGCAGAUAUCAGGAGGAACACCAGUGGCGAAGGCGGUGCUCUGGGCCACUACUGACGCUGAGAAGCGAAAGCGUGGGGAGCGAACAGG